rnacentral:rRNA from 1 species
UGAGGAAUAUUGGGCAAUGCCCGCAAGGGUGACCCAGCAACGCCGCGUGGAGGAUGAAUGUCGUAAGAUUGUAAACUCCUGUUAGAGGGGAAGAAUAGUACCGGUUGGACCGGUAUAUGACUGUACCCUCAGAGAAAGCCCCGGCUAACUACGUGCCAGCAGCCGCGGUAAUACGUAGGGGGCAAGCGUUGUCCGGAUUUACUGGGUGUAAAGGGCGCGCAGGCGGGAUAAAAAGUCAGUGGUGAAAUCCUACAGCUUAACUGUAGAACUGCCUUUGAUACUUUGAUUCUUGAGUUCGGGAGAGAGAGACGGAAUUCCAGGUGUAGUGGUGAAAUACGUAGAUAUCUGGAAGAACACCAGUUGCGAAGGCGGUCUCUUGGUCCGACACUGACGCUGAGGCGCGAAAGCGUGGGGAGCAAACA